GCUCGGAUGGUGAAAUUGGCAGACACGCAGCGUUCAGGGCGCUGUGGGGGCAACCCCGUGGGAGUUCAACUCUCCCUCCGAGCA
rnacentral:tRNA from 1 species